GUCUUAUUGAUUAUAAUUUUAAGUCUAAUCUGCCCAGUGAUUAUAAAUUAAAUGGCUGCAGUAUUUUAACUGUACAAAGGUAGCAUAAUAAUUAGUCUCUUAAUUAGGGACUAGAAUGAAGGAUUGAACGAGAUAAUAACUGUCUCUUAUUAAAUUAUAAAAUUUUAUUUUUAAGUUAAAAAGCUUAAAUAAAAUUAAAAGACGAGAAGACCCUAUAGAGUUUUAUAUUUAUUAUUAAUAUAAAUUUUAGUAUUAAAAUUUUAUUUUUUUUAUAAAAUAUUUAAUUGGGGUGAUUAAAAAAUUGAAGAAACUUUUUAAAAAAUUUUCAUUAAUUUAUGAAUAAAUGAUCCAAUAAUUUUGAUUAUAAGAUUAAAUUACCUUAGGGAUAACAGCGUAAUUUUUUUUGAGAGUUCUUAUCGAAAAAAAAGAUUGCGACCUCGAUGUUGGAUUAAA
rnacentral:rRNA from 1 species